rnacentral:tmRNA from 1 species
GGGGAUGACAGGCUUCGACGGGAGAGGCUGGUUCCGGAAUGCGAGCCGAGCGCGCGCCGACCUCGUAAAAUCAGCGCAAACUUUAAGUGCCAACAACCGCACUUACGCCGCUAUGCCCCUCGCCGCCUAGUGCGACGAGAUCGUAACGGUUGGCGCCUAAGGGCGUCACGUCCACCGUCCCCGUUCCCCACCCGGUGACGGACCGGGCGAGACAAAGGUAGGGUGCCGUGUGUGACUCCGCUAAACACGCGAAAGACCAGCGGAUGGUCGCAGGCUUACCAGCCGGCCGGGAUGCAUGCGAUGACGAAUAACGGCAGGCUACGCUCGUAGAGUUCCGAGGGUCGAAUCUUUCGGACGCGGGUUCAAUUCCCGCCAUCUCCACC